rnacentral:rRNA from 1 species
AUGUGUCCUCCCAGUGUAAUGAUGAAGCAAAAACUCAUGUUACUCGCAGUAGCAAUAGCCACAACAAUGACAGUGCUCUUGUGCGAUACCAGGCAACGACUGCUGUCAGUCAUGAUCAGCAAAUUAACAAGAACAACAUUAUCUUCCAUACAAGUGCAAUUCUUUUUUGAAGAUGACAAUGAUGUUGGCAAAUCAAUUGGACAAUCACAACUUAGACUUCCAUACAAAGAUUGUUCUUCUACGAGAGUGGUUCCUGAUAUUCAGCACGACAUAACCCUUGCUAUGAGCUAUGUUGAUGGUACUACUUCGGGAAAUGAUGUAGGGUCGAUGCCCUCUGAUGUUAAUGAGACAAAUCCUCCAAAUGUUCUAUCUGGUCGUAGUACCAUCGAGAAAAGAAAUAGGAAGAAAAGAAAAGCAAAAAUGUUGUCCCCUGCAUCUCCAUUAUCAACACUGAAUCUAGAACCAGCUAUUGACAACUUCUACCUAAAGUACCUAAACUACAAGUUCUUCAAAGACAAUUCUAGAUUUUAA